rnacentral:rRNA from 1 species
CCACCUGACCCCAUGCCGAACUCAGAAGUGA